rnacentral:sRNA from 1 species
GCAGUAGUAGGUAUACAGAUAGGUGCUGC